rnacentral:rRNA from 1 species
GAUGAACGCUGGCGGCGUGCCUAAUACAUGCAAGUCGAGCGAACGGACGAUAAGCUUGCUUCUCUGAUGUUAGCGGCGGACGGGCGAGUAACACGUGGAUAACCUACCUCUAUUUCUGGGAUAACUUCGGGAAACCGGAGCUAAUACUGGCUGAUAUUUUGAACCGCAUGGUUCAAAAGAGAAUGACGGUCUUCCCGACUCUUUUAGAUGGAUCCGCGCUGCAUUAGCUAGUUGGUAAGGUAACGGCCUACCAAGGCAACGAUGCGUAGCCGACCUGAGAGGGUGAUCGGCCACACUGGAACUGAGACACGGUCCAGACUCCUACGGGAGGCAGCAGUAGGGAAUAUUCGGCAAUGGGCGAAAGCCUGACGGAGCGACGCCGCGUGAGUGAUGAAGGUCUUCGGAUCGUAAAACUCUGUUAUUAGGGAAGAACAUAAGUAGAAGUAACUGUGCACGUCUUGACGGUACCUAAUCAGAAAGCCACGGCUAACUACGUG